rnacentral:lncRNA from 1 species
CUUUCCCAGGUCUUCACCCAGAUGUGGAACUCGGCCCCUUGCCUUGAUUUCCAGCAAAACCAAACCAAACACCGUGCAAGACCUUUUCCGGAAAUUUUUAUGAACGGCAAGAUGACGCGAUGGACCACAUCUUUCUUCUGAAAAAAAAUGGGACAGAACCCUUAUGAAAGAGGAGAGGGGAAAGGCGAACAGCCCAAAAGCAGAGCGUUCUGGGGAGUCCAGUUUCAGCAAAGAGGACUCCUGGAAUGAACAGUGGAGUUUUCCAGCAGCUACAGGACAUGAGAUAUUGCAACACGCUGAAGCAGAGGCUGAUAUGAGAAUCCAGCUGUCUUCUAUUAAGUCAGAUUUGCAAGACUAUAAAACAGCGC